GACAAUGUUUAGAAAAGAAUUAAAAUAUAGAAAAAAAAUUAGAAAUAGUGAUAAAAAUUGAUGGGAGAAGAGAGAGAAAAAAGAAAGGAAAGAAAUAGAACUCUUUUUUUAUAUAAUAUAUAGAUUAUACACAUUUUAGAAAGAAAAAAAAAGAAAUUGGUAAAGUAUCAUGUUUUUAAAGUGAGCUAAGAAACUAAACCGUAUUUGGAUAAAUUGGAUGAGUGUCCGAAAAUAUGGGAUUAUAGUUGGAAAAGAAAAAAACUAAUUUUUUAAAAUUUGGCGG
rnacentral:lncRNA from 1 species